rnacentral:rRNA from 1 species
UACGUAGGGGGCAAGCGUUGUCCGGAUUUAUUGGGCGUAAAGAGCGUGUAGGCGGCUAGGUAGGUCCGUUGUGAAAACUCGAGGCUCAACCUCGAGACGUCGAUGGAAACCAUCUAGCUAGAGUCCGGAAGAGGAGAGUGGAAUUCCUGGUGUAGCGGUGAAAUGCGUAGAGAUCAGCAGGAACACCCGUGGCGAAGGCGGCCCCCUGGGCCGUACCUGACGCUGAGGCGCGAAGGCUAGGGGAGCGAACGGG